CAACGUUUUUUGCUUUAAUUUUUGCUCUUUCCCUUUCAUUUGAUUGCUUCAUCUUGGGUAUGAUUUGGACCAGGAAAAAUGGCAGCCAGGAAAGCAUUUUAAGUGUAGCAAAUAGCAUGAACACUGAAACAGAGUGGAGCUGCUUGGUUUGACUGGAGCUCCCUGUCUGAGUCCAGAACAAAAUGGAAAACGUGAGAAAGAACAGGGCUGUGUUGAUGAGGCCUUGUGUGUCAGAAAACCAAUGCUAAAUUUGAUCAAACAUUGCCAGUUAUUCCCCACUUCGCUUGAGGAGUUGGAACUCAGCCUCUAGUCUCUGACUGCAGGUUCCAGAUGUUUUCUCGGGAUGACAUGGGGUCUGGCUACAUCCUCUAUGUAGAAGAAAGUCAUGUUUUGUGCAUGAUAAUCUGGUCAUCUUCAUUGUCUAUGCAAAAACAAAUAAAAGUUAUGGAUAAUUUUUGUUCAAGUGAA